AGAAUCCAGGUGGUGCGCGCCAAAAGGGGCGGUCUCGCUCGUUUCCCGCGUGAAGUUACUGCAUUUCCCUCCAAAAUUAUUAGCUGCCUAUAAUAAUCUCUGCUGGAUCUUCACUCUGAUCAGAGCAGCUCUUCCCUGAGGACACGAACACGGUGUCUUCAGCUUCAGGUGGAACAGCUCUGACCUGUAUGGUGAUCAGACCUGGAGAGGAGAGACACCUGGUCCAACAAGGUGAUGGACGGUUGACAGGACGAAUCACCAAGACGAACCAGACGAGCCAAACAAUGGAGACGAGCCGCCACAGGAGCCUGAAGGGAAAGUGCUCAGGGCUCCGUUCACGCAGUACGGGAUGAUGCUGACGGUGACCAGAGGCACGGUGGCGCUCUUGCAGAAGGACAGCAGGUAGAAGAGGGCGGCGGUGUGUGUGGGAGGCUUGAAGGAGUCGAACAGGUGGAGUAGGA